UACGGGGGGGGCAAGCGUUGUUCGGAAUUACUGGGCGUAAAGGGCGUGUAGGCGGCCAACUAAGUCCGACGUGAAAUCCCCAGGCUUAACCUGGGAACUGCGUCGGAUACUGGAUGGCUUGAAUCCGGGAGAGGGAUGCAGAAUUCCAGGUGUAGCGGUGAAAUGCGUAGAUAUCUGGAGGAACACCGGUGGCGAAGGCGGCAUUCUGGACCGAUAUUGACGCUGAGGAGCGAAAGCCAGGGGAGCAAACGGG
rnacentral:rRNA from 1 species